UGGGGAAUUUUGGACAAUGGGCGAAAGCCUGAUCCAGCAAUGCCGCGUGUGUGAAGAAGGCCUUCGGGUUGUAAAGCACUUUUGUCCGGAAAGAAAUCCUUGGCUCUAAUACAGUCGGGGGAUGACGGUACCGGAAGAAUAAGCACCGGCUAACUACGUGCCAGCAGCCGCGGUAAUACGUAGGGUGCAAGCGUUAAUCGGAAUUACUGGGCGUAAAGCGUGCGCAGGCGGUUUGCUAAGACCGAUGUGAAAUCCCCGGGCUAAACCUGGGAACUGCAUUGGUGACUGGCAGGCUAGAGUAUGGCAGAGGGGGGUAGAAUUCCACGUGUAGCAGUGAAAUGCGUAGAGAUGUGGAGGAAUACCGAUGGCGAAGGCAGCCCCCUGGGCCAAUACUGACGCUCAUGCACGAAAGCGUGGGGAGCAAACAGGAUUAGAUACCCUGGUAGUCCACGCCCUAAACGAUGUCAACUAGUUGUUGGGGAUUCAUUUCCUUAGUAACGUAGCUAACGCGUGAAGUUGACCGCCUGGGGAGUACGGUCGCAAGAUUAAAACUUAAAUGAAUUGACGGGGUCAUAGCUGUUUCCU
rnacentral:rRNA from 1 species